rnacentral:rRNA from 1 species
AUGACUAGGGGUAACCUUAGGAAGAGACACAUCAUCAAACCCAUUGAUUGUGUUUACUUCUUGGAACAAGAGUCUUGUUCUCACCUAUUUUUUGAAUGUAUAGUUGCUAAACAUCUCUGGGCCCACAUUGAGGAAUAUUUCUCUAGUCAGAUUGGCUCAUCCUUAGAAUCUGUCGCCAGAUUCUGGAUUGCUACCAAAAAGUGCUCAGUUUUAAACACUGUUAGCUCAGUUGUCCUUUGGUGCCUCUGGAAAUAUAGAAAUUCUAUGAUUUUCAGUAACACCUCUUGGAUUUGCAUUCCGCGGGUCUUGAGGUUGAUCAGGAACAUGGUGAGGAACUGGGCGAUUCUCUUGUCCGGAUCGGACAAGGACAAGUUGACGAGCUUUGUGGAAACCCUAACAAAAUCCCUCCAGAAACCGUUGACGAUCACUUGUGGCUAA